rnacentral:rRNA from 1 species
CCUACGGGUGGCUGCAAUUAGGAAUCUUGUGCAAUGGGCGAAAGCCUGACACAGCGACGCCGCGUGAAGGACGACGGCCUUCGGGUUGUAAACUUCUUUUUUGCAGGAAGAAACAAAUGACGGUACUGCAUGAAUAAGUCCCGGCUAACUCCGUGCCAGCAGCCGCGGUAAUACGGAGGGGACGAGCGUUGUCCGAAGUUACUGGGCGUAAAGCGCGCGUAGGCGGGCCGCUAAGUCUGCUGUGAAAGCCUGGGGCUUACCCCCAGCAGGUCGGU